rnacentral:lncRNA from 7 species
AGUUCAAAUACUGCAAGACUUAGUAAUGGAUGUGAGUCUUUAAAACUAUAGAAAUUUAAGUUUCAAGGAAACUAGACACAGAAAUCAUACGACCUGUAGUCUGUGCUACAUGCUACAAAAAGACAUCUAACUUUAUCAACAGGAUCCUAAGUUGAGUUCUGAAAAGGCCUAUGAAGUCUUAACAGAAGAGUUUGUAGAAAGCAUGAUCCACUUGAGAACAUUUUCUCCUGCAGAUGUUGUCAUCCCAAGGAGUACAGAAGUACUUGUAGAACUGAACAGACAGAAGAUCUCCUGGCAAACUACUACAUGGAAUCAUACUGAAAACUAAUGUAGCAACGCAAAGUUUGCUCAGAACUGAAAGCACAUUUCCAGUCGCUAAAAUAAUAUGCAAUUUAUUGCCAUUUUGCUAAUUAGAAAUAUUUCUAUUUCUAUGAUGACUAAUAUGAAUGUGGUUACAAAAAACUACAGUUGCUAUUAAGAAUAACUGGGUUAAUUUAUUAAGGGGAUUUCUAGCAACUUUAGUUCAGUUGAAGUGCUAUUGUAAUAACACAAAGAGAUUUACUUAAAUCUCUAUGCUGGCAUGCUAUCUGCUAAUAUGCUUUCCCAGGAUUUGACUCAUGACAGUCAGAAAAACUGUUUAUUCAAUUCACUCAAUUUUUUAGAAUGCUUAAAUUUAAGUGACAGAUCCUCUAUGGUACCUUCAGUAUUAUAUUCAAUAUUAAUCCUUUUUUCCCUUCCAUUUUCUUUUCUUGUCCCCACUAAAUCAAAGUAAGGCAGCAGAAAAUAACAAGGUCAGUGACGGCUCUUUCCCCUAAGAGUAAGAUCUACUCUCCUCUUGAAGUAUUGUUGGCUAAGGACUCUUCUCAGUUAGUGAGAAUGCUUUAGGCAUCUUUCAUUCUUUCCAUUCUAAAAGUGGAGAAAAAGACCAACUGCCCUUGAAGCAGCAGGAAGCUCCGUCCCAGCUGCUAAGACAGACAGAGAUAGCAGCAGGGGACCCCACUCACUCCAGCAGCUGGGAAACAUCUAUUUGGGUGUGUGGAUUGGACUUGUGUGACUAUUUGUGGAAUCUGUCUAUGCUCAGCUUGUGAAUCUUGCAUUGAUAUUUUGAAUCUGUUGCUAUUAAAUUUCUUGAGAACUGAAAUGCCAUGGUGGCCCACAUCCAGACUUUAGGUGGGCUGACUUGAACUCUGACGAUGUCUCCCCAUUAUCCAUACAGGCAGCCUAUGUAUACGCAGACCUAACUCAUAAAUACAACAUUGUUGCCUCAAGGUAAGUAGGAAAAAAUUGAACCUAUGUGUGUCCUGUUUCGUUGCCAGAGGUUCUACCACAAGAUCAGGAUCAAGGGCAUGUGACUAACUGAAUUUUGACAGAACAAUUAGUGUGUUAAGGAGAUGAGGUUAAGAAUGCUGGUGAUCAGAGCAAAUAACUGAAAACAAACUUUUUUAUUUCAAUCUUGCACUGGAAAGUGCAGUAUCUCUUGGAAGGUAGAUGCAUGCUCUAUGGCAUAUAGGAUUCAGAGAAAAGAUGAUAUAAUGUAUUUCCCAUUCAUCAAAGGGUUAUACUUCAUAGUAGAGUCAUAUUAGAAAGGAGGGCUUUAUCUUGUGCUCAGUCUCUCAAAAUAUACACUCAUCAGAAGAGAAUUUGUGGCAUUCAGGUACACACACAGAUGAGAGAGGGCAACUGUAGGUGAGGGGCUGCUAUCACUCUCAAAGCACAUAUUUUGACUUUGAAUCUUCUGAGGGAUUCUUUUUCUGUUAAAAACUCUGUUUCAUUCAAUCUCCACUUCCAGAUUAAUUAGGUGCAACACUUAUGUUGAUGAGAAGAGAAUCACAUUUAGUUAUUUAUCUCUUUUCUUGUCACUCCACGUUGUUGCACACUGAAGCUGCUGAUGUAUUCAAAUCCACCUAGCUUUGUAGACAGCUUUGUAUGGGUCUUUCUUUCUCCUCCUUUCCAACUCCAGUUAUCUAUUUAUCACUCCAUCUCAGUCUCCACUCUUUCAGUAGGAACUCGGUUGGGCAGAAACUAUUUUUGGCUCCAUAAACUGCUGAACAGUCUAAAGGUGCUUGACACAAGGAAUCUUUGAUUCUCUGGGGGUCAUGCUGUUACAACAAUAUUAUAAUUUAUCAAAAUAUGAGAUUCAAAUCUCAGUUC